AACGAACGCUGGCGGCAUGCCUAACACAUGCAAGUCGAACGAAGCCUUCGGGCUUAGUGGCGCACGGGUGCGUAACGCGUGGGAAUCUGCCCUUGGGUUCGGAAUAACAGUUAGAAAUGACUGCUAAUACCGGAUGAUGUCUUCGGACCAAAGAUUUAUCGCCCAAUGAUGAGCCCGCGUAGGAUUAGGUAGUUGGUGGGGUAAUGGCCCACCAAGCCGACGAUCCUUAGCUGGGCUGAGAGGAUGAUCAGCCACACUGGGACUGAUACACGGCCCAGACUCCUACGGGAGGCAGCAGUGGGGAAUAUUGGACAAUGGGCGAAAGCCUGAUCCAGCAAUGCCGCGUGAGUGAUGAAGGCCUUCGGGUUGUAAAGCUCUUUUACCAGGGAUGAUAAUGACAGUACCUGGAGAAUAAGCUCCGGCUAACUCCGUGCCAGCCGCCGCGGUAA
rnacentral:rRNA from 1 species